rnacentral:lncRNA from 1 species
GGAUGGCGGCGCUAGUCUUCCUGGAGCCGAACCAAGCCUCAAUCCUGAGCUUACGCUUGCCGGUCUCCUCGUCCUUAAUGAGAUGGAAGUCGAGGUUGAGGUGCUUGAAGUCGCGGAUAAGCUUACCCCUGGGACCCUCAACUUCGAUAACCUUGGCUUUUAUUUUGACGCUAACCCCAUCGGGGAUGUCCAUCGUCUCGGAAGAAAGAAUGGUCUUCAUGUUUCUCCUGUCUACCAAGCGGCUGGCUUCGCGGAGAGGAAGAAAAUUAC